AUAAAUUAUUACAUAUGUAUGAUACAAAAAUGUUGAUUAUUUUAUUGAUCUUUAAAAUAAUUUUGAAAAUUCAAAAUUUAUUAAUUACCGCAGCUCUAUAAUUAAGAAGAAUUAAUUUGGUCAUAUAUAAAUUAGAUUAAAGAAAAAGUUGAGUGGUAUGCUCGAAGAAGCUUCCCGCAGGGCGUUGCCGCGUAGGCGAAUGAAAGCAGCCUGCUCUUCCUGGGUUCACAAGUCAUCAAGUGUAAACGCAAUAAUUUGAAGGUGAUGAAGAUGGGAGACGGAAGUAUAUAUAAAGAUGGAAGAAAUUAGCCCCCUUCUUGUUCUAAAUACAUCUGAUUGAGAUUUCGGGUAUGCGUUUCUUGCAUACAGUAAAAAACCAGAUGAAUAUAUCAUGAGAGUAGUGCAGUUGACUCUACUGCUGUUGUUAUUA